CCGUACAGAGGAAAGCCGAUAAAAAGUCAAUUCCACUUAACUGAAUGGCUGCUAACUAAAUAUUUUGGGGGCCAGAGCCUUCCUAGAUAGCAGCUGGAGCGUCUCUGUUCCGGAACUGAGACAUCAAGCCGGGGCUGUUCAUCGACAGGCGGAGACCCCUGUUCUCUAUAAACCCGAGAUGAAGAACAGUAUCACACGAAGCGCAGACGAUAUCCCAGGAGAUUACUAUGUGGCUACUGUUCUGAAACAGACAACAGCUCCAGACAGCUCCAGACAGCCAGCCCAGAAAACUCACCACAUGAGGCUUGGGGAGUCAGCUUUGGCCCAAGUUGCGAAAUGGACACAGGUGCUGUGAAGAGGAGGAAAUGAAGAAAAUCC